AUACAAAGCAGCGAGAUCUUGUUAAAAUGCAGAUUCUGAUUUAGUAGGUCUGGGCUGGGUCUGAGAAUCUGCAUUUCUAACCAGCUCCCAGGCUCUGCCCAU
rnacentral:pre_miRNA from 1 species